GGGUCAGUUUUCAUUUCAUUGGUCUUGUAAACCAGAAAAGGAGGAGGACACGUCCUCCCUAAGCCUCAAGGAAGGAGACUAACUCCGCC
rnacentral:pre_miRNA from 1 species